AAUCCAUAUAGCCCAAAAUGAAUAUGAUCUGUUCUUUCCACUCCGAAUAAUUAGAACCAUUACGUAUAGAAACAGAUUCACCAAUAGGAACAGAAAAUGGAGUCAUAGCUGAAAAAUAAAAUGCAUGCUUUAUCAAUAAAAUACCACAUCAUAAAUUACCACACCAAAAUUAAAAAAAUACACUUUAUAUGACAUCACAUCCCCUCCUUUGGGAGCAGAGUUAUGAGCAUAAGUAUUUUUCGAUCUUUAUGCAUAUACUUUGUAUGCCAUCACAACCCCUCCUUUGGGAGCAGAGUUACGAGCAUAAAUAUGCAAUCAUUCUUUAUGCAUAUACUUUAUAUGACAUCACAACCCCUCCUUUGGGAGCAGAGUUAUGAGCAUAAGUAUUUUUCGUUCCUUAUGCAUAUACUUUAUAUGACAUCACAACCCCUCCUUUGGGAGCAGAGUUAUGAGUAUAAAUAUGCAAUCUCUUUAUCAGAGACUAAUUAAACUUUCUGCAAGUCGUAGUAAUUUUAAAUUUUUCAUAUGAAAAAAUCGUUAGCUUUGGCCAGGCAAAUUUCUCCAAACAAGUUAUAAGAAAAUUACCAUCCUGCACCACCCAUGUACCUUCAUGUCUAGACCUUAUUUGGGAGCAGACUAAACAUAAUAUCAGGGUGCAAUUUUCGCAUGCACUUCUUUAAAGCAAUUAAUUUAUCUUUUCUUCCGGUCGAGGCCGCUUUGGCUUGCACCCGAACAGUUGAAGCAAUAAAUUAAUCUGACUUAGUGC
rnacentral:lncRNA from 1 species